UAGCGUAUAUUUAAGUUGUUGCGGUAAAAAAGCUCGUAGUUGGAUUUCUGUUGAGGACGACCGGUCCAUACCAUGUAUGCGCAUCUGGUUUCGGCCUCGGCAUCCUCUCGAGAUGCGUUUCUGCGCUUGAUUGCGUGGGGCGUGGCUCGGGACUUUUACUUUGAGGAAAUUAGAGUGUUCACGGCAGGCUUUUGCCAGAAUACAUUAGCAUGGAAUAAUAAUAUAGGAUCUUGGUUCUAUUUUGUUGGUUUCUAGAAUUAAGAUAAUGAUUAAUAGGGACAAUUGGGGGCAUUCGUAUCAACACGUC
rnacentral:rRNA from 1 species